rnacentral:ncRNA from 1 species
GUUUGGCUGGGGGCGGUACAGCUGUUAAAAAGUAACACAGCUGUCCUAAGGUAGAUGAAUGAUGGAUGGUAACCAUCAGUUUAUUAUAAGGGAAUGAAUCUGCUUUACUUUAUACAUAUGACUGUAUUUAGUAGGGAAACCUUGGCCUAGCGAUCCCAAUUACAUUCAUUAUGUAUUGGGUGAUUGAAAAGUUACCACAGGGAUAACUGGCUUGUAGCAGGCAAGCGAUCAUAGCGACUCUGCUUUUUGUAUUCUUCGAUGUCGUCUCUUCUGAUCAUCGUAGUGUAUAUGUUACGAAGUGUUGGAUUGUUCACCCGGUAAUGAGGAACGUGAGAUGGGUUUAGACCGUCGUGAGACAGGUUAGUUUUACCCUACUGUUUGUAUUUUUGAGUGAACUUUGAUAGUACGAGAGGAACUCUAAGUGAUGACCACUGGUAGUGCGAUUAACUAUUAAGUUAUGUUGCUUAGCUACGUCAUUUCGAUUAAGGCUGAAAGCCUCUUAAGCCUAGAAGCGUUAGCUCAAGGAUAUUUUUUUGAGAAUACUACUCUUUUAAGACAGAACUGUAAGAAUGAAGGUGUAUGCCGA